UACGGAGGGUGCGAGCGUUGUCCGGAAUCAUUGGGCGUAAAGGGCGCGUAGGUGGCGGGACAAGCGUGCGGUGAAAGCUCGGGGCUCAACCCCGCGUCGGCCGUGCGAACUGUUUUGCUUGAGCACUGUAGAGGCAGGCGGAAUUCCGGGUGUAGCGGUGGAAUGCGUAGAGAUCCGGAAGAACACCGGUGGCGAAGGCGGCCUGCUGGGCAGUAGCUGACACUGAGGCGCGACAGCGUGGG
rnacentral:rRNA from 1 species